rnacentral:tRNA from 1 species
UGCGGGGUCGUCUAAUGGUAGGACAGCGGCCUUUGGAGCCGUUAGUCUAGGUUCGAAUCCUAGCCCCGCAG